AGCCAGGAUCCAUGCGGGCAGACACCGCCUAACUCCGCCAGGCCCGGAAGGGAGCAACGGUAAGCGGAAGUUUGCCGCGCCGUGAUCAUCCUGGUUUCG
rnacentral:SRP_RNA from 1 species